rnacentral:rRNA from 1 species
UACGGAGGGGGCGAGCGUUAUUCGGAAUUAUUGGGCGUAAAGGGCGCGUAGGCGGCUUGGUAAGUCAAAGGUGAAAUCCCUCGGCUCAACUGAGGAAUUGCCUUUGAAACUGCCUGGCUUGAGGCCGGGAGGGGGUAGCGGAAUUCCCAGUGUAGCGGUGAAAUGCGUAGAUAUUCGCAAGAACACCAGUGGCGAAGGCGGCUCACUGGCCCGGUACUGACGCUGAGGUGCGAAAGCGUGGGGAGCAAACAGG